GACAGAGGUGCCAAGCGUUAGGCGGAAUCACUGGGCUUAAAGCGUGUGUAGGCGGAUCGUUAAGUACCUUGUGAAAUCCCACGGCUCAACCGUGGAACUGCUCGGUAUACUGGCGGUCUUGAGCCACCUAGGGGCAACUGGAACAAGCGGUGGAGCGGUGAAAUGCGUAGAUAUCUGGAGGAAUACCGGUGGCGAAGGCGGCAUCCUGGACCGACAUUGACGCUGAUGAGCGAAAGCUAGGGGAGCAAACGGG
rnacentral:rRNA from 1 species